rnacentral:rRNA from 1 species
CCUACGGGAGGCAGCAGUAGGGAAUAUUGCUCAAUGGGGGAAACCCUGAAGCAGCAACGCCGCGUGGAGGAUGAAGGUUUUCGGAUUGUAAACUCCUUUUGUUAGAGAAGAUAAUGACGGUAUCUAACGAAUAAGCACCGGCUAACUCCGUGCCAGCAACCGCGGUAAUACGGAGGGUGCAAGCGUUACUCGGAAUCACUGGGCGUAAAGCGCGCGUAGGCGGGAUAGCAAGUCAGAUGUGAAAUCCUAUGGCUUAACCAUAGAACUGCAUUUGAAACUGUUAAUCUAGAGUAUGGGAGAGGUAGGUGGAAUUCUUGGUGUAGGGGUAAAAUCCGUAGAGAUCAAGAGGAAUACUCAUUGCGAAGGCGACCUGCUAGAACAUAACUGACGCUGAUGCGCGAAAGCGUGGGGAGCAAACAGGAUUAGAUACCCUAGUAGUC